rnacentral:rRNA from 1 species
GACGAACGCUGGCGGCGUGCUUAACACAUGCAAGUCGAACGGAAAGGCCCCCUUGUGGGGUACUCGAGUGGCGAACGGGUGAGUAACACGUGAGUAACCUACCCUUGACUUUGGGAUAUCUUCAGGAAACUGGGGCUAAUACCGGAUAGGAGCUCCUGCUGCAUGGUGGGGGUUGGAAAGUUUCGGCGGUUGGGGAUGGACUCGCGGCUUAUCAGCUUGUUGGUGGGGUAGUGGCUCACCAAGGCUUUGACGGGUAGCCGGCCUGAGAGGGUGACCGGCCACAUUGGGACUGAGAUACGGCCCAGACUCCUACGGGAGGCAGCAGUGGGGAAUAUUGCACAAUGGGCGGAAGCCUGAUGCAGCAACGCCGCGUGCGGGAUGACGGCCUUCGGGUUGUAAACCGCUUUCGCCUGUGACGAAGCGUGAGUGACGGUAAUGGGUAAAGAAGCACCGGCUAACUACGUG